CAGAUGGGAGCUUGCUCCCUGAUGUUAGCGGCGGACGGGUGAGUAACACGUGGGUAACCUGCCUGUAAGACUGGGAUAACUCCGGGAAACCGGGGCUAAUACCGGAUGCUUGUUUGAACCGCAUGGUUCAAACAUAAAAGGUGGCUUCGGCUACCACUUACAGAUGGACCCGCGGCGCAUUAGCUAGUUGGUGAGGUAACGGCUCACCAAGGCAACGAUGCGUAGCCGACCUGAGAGGGUGAUCGGCCACACUGGGACUGAGACACGGCCCAGACUCCUACGGGAGGCAGCAGUAGGGAAUCUUCCGCAAUGGACGAAAGUCUGACGGAGCAACGCCGCGUGAGUGAUGAAGGUUUUCGGAUCGUAAAGCUCUGUUGUUAGGGAAGAACAAGUACCGUUCGAAUAGGGCGGUACCUUGACGGUACCUAACCAGAAAGCCACGGCUAACUACGUGCCAGCAGCCGCGGUAAUACGUAGGUGGCAAGCGUUGUCCGGAAUUAUUGGGCGUAAAGGGCUCGCAGGCGGUUCCUUAAGUCUGAUGUGAAAGCCCCCGGCUCAACCGGGGAGGGUCAUUGGAAACUGGGGAACUUGAGUGCAGAAGAGGAGAGUGGAAUUCCACGUGUAGCGGUGAAAUGCGUAGAGAUGUGGAGGAACACCAGUGGCGAAGGCGACUCUCUGGUCUGUAACUGACGCUGAGGAGCGAAAGCGUGGGGAGCGAACAGGAUUAGAUACCCUGGUAGUCCACGCCGUAAACGA
rnacentral:rRNA from 1 species